UGUGUGUCAUGUAAACUCUAGCUUUCUAGGCGUACAUGUACAUGUGCUCAACAACAGGAGAAGCACGAGCAGCCGAGCGUUCGCCUGGUUGCAGCUCGACUUCAGAUUUUGUUUUUCUAUGUCUACAAGUUGUUUGAUGAAAAUCCAAAAAGGCUGACAUGGGAGAAUUAAUCUAUGUAUUGAAGGAGCUCAGGAUGCUUUUAUUUCUAUUUACAUCAUGGACUUUAUUAUAGAACAACCACUGUGAAGAAAAUUAUCUCAUUUCUUUUGGAUGAUUUGGUUUAGUUGGCUAUUACACAAGUCGGAAUGAAUUAACAACACUAGUAGA